AAACCAACAGGGAUUGCCUUAGUAGCGGCGAGUGAAGCGGCAAAAGCUCAAAUUUGAAAUCUGGCACCUUCGGUGUCCGAGUUGUAAUUUGAAGAUUGUAACCUUGGGGUUGGCUCUUGUCUAUGUUUCUUGGAACAGGACGUCACAGAGGGUGAGAAUCCCGUGCGAUGAGAUGCCCAAUCCUAUGUAAGGUGCUUUCGAAGAGUCGAGUUGUUUGGGAAUGCAGCUCUAAGUGGGUGGUAAAUUCCAUCUAAAGCUAAAUAUUGGCGAGAGACCGAUAGCGAACAAGUACAGUGAUGGAAAGAUGAAAAGAACUUUGAAAAGAGAGUGAAAAAGUACGUGAAAUUGUUGAAAGGGAAGGGUUUGAGAUCAGACUCGAUAUUUUGUGAGCCUUGCCUUCGUGGCGGGGUGACCCGCAGCUUAUCGGGCCAGCAUCGGUUUGGGCGGUAGGAUAAUGGCGUAGGAAUGUGACUUUGCUUCGGUGAAGUGUUAUAGCCUGCGUUGAUGCUGCCUGCCUAAACCGAGGACUGCGAUUUUAUCAAGGAUGCUGGCAUAAUGAUCCCAAACCGC
rnacentral:rRNA from 1 species